GACCUGGGCAACACACGUGCUACAAUGGGAAGUACAACGAGUCGCAAACCGGCGACGGUAAGCUAAUCUCUUAAAACUUCUCUCAGUUCGGACUGGAGUCUGCAACUCGACUCCACGAAGGCGGAAUCGCUAGUAAUCGCGAAUCAGCAUGUCGCGGUGAAUACGUUCCCGGGUCUUGUACACACCGCCCGUCAAAUCAUGGGAGUCGGAAGUACCCAAAGUCGCUUGGCUAACUUUUAGAGGCCGGUGCCUAAGGUAAAAUCGAUGACUGGGAUUAAGUCGUAACAAGGUAGCCGUAGGAGAACCUGCGGCUGGAUCACCUCCUUUCUAAGGA
rnacentral:rRNA from 1 species